UUGUGAGCAGUUGUUACUCUUUUAGUUUUUAAAAAACCUUUUACAUUGUAAGUACCCAAUCCAUUCUGUCCUGACGCAGUACAGUUUUGAUGUUAAUGUUGCUGAGAUGUCCUUAAUUUUCCGAACCUUCAUCUGCAUGUAUGUCUUUGUCUCUCUUGUCUAAUAUAAGCCAGUUAAGAUGCUUGAGACGAUCUUGCUUUAUAAAGCUAAGGUUCUAGCUUUAUGCUUUUGAAAAUGUUUACAGCACUAAAUGCUAGUCAGCUUUCUUCCCCGUAGCUUGUACACUUUCUUUGAAAAUCGAUCUAUUUGAAGAAAAACAGCCCUGUUUUUCUCGUCUUUGGUGUUGGGGGUUGGGGGGAGCUGGUGGGUGAGGGAAAGGAAGACCUUUUCUUUGUGUAGAGAGACUAAAGCCGUCACAGGAAACUAGAUUAAAACUGGAAAACAAGUCCUAGCUGGUUCCAGCAAACACCAACGUUAAGUGGGGGGUAUUUUCUAUGGUGGUUGGGCGGCUGGUGCGUCUUGUGCCUUUUGUUUGAUUUGACUGUAUUUUCGCCUUUUGUCUCUUAAUGACGAUCACACCAUUGCUAUAUCCAGAGCAGUAAACAGUCCUCAGCGAAGCCGCCUUUUUGCCUACCCAACCCUGGAAAGUUUGCAGAAGUGGAAGGAGCAGAACGUGAGGGUGUAACUUACAAAAAGGUUCUGGGCCGGAGAAGGGGCGACGUUCGGGCACCCCCCGAAUGGACAAUCUUUCCUUCUGUCAACGGCAGGGGCAGGCCUAGUUUGACUCUGACAGUCCUCCCACUAAGGAAUUCCUGGUGACUGGAAGGGGGAGUGACUCAGGCCCUCAACCUCUAGCAGGUAAGGGAGCUACCUCCUGGGUGGGCAUGCCCAGUUCCUCAGUGGGCCCAGCGCGGCCCAGCCUCCGAGGAAGCUCUGAGCAGCUGGCUUGGCUCCGAGGUAUUUUUAGCUACAGAUCCAGCCCCCCUCCAUCACCACAACAGUCGAGUCCAAAUCAAACGCGCUCCAGGCAGGUGGGGCUGGGGUUCUGCCAGCCUCCUG
rnacentral:lncRNA from 1 species